rnacentral:rRNA from 1 species
GACGAACGCUGGCGGCGUGCCUAAUACAUGCAAGUUGAGCGAUGAAGAUUGGUGCUUGCACCAAUUUGAAGAGCAGCGAACGGGUGAGUAACGCGUGGGGAAUCUGCCUUUGAGCGGGGGACAACAUUUGGAAACGAAUGCUAAUACCGCAUAACAACUUUAAACAUAAGUUUUAAGUUUGAAAGAUGCAAUUGCAUCACUCAAAGAUGAUCCCGCGUUGUAUUAGCUAGUUGGUGAGGUAAAGGCUCACCAAGGCGAUGAUACAUAGCCGACCUGAGAGGGUGAUCGGCCACAUUGGGACUGAGACACGGCCCAAACUCCUACAGGAGGCAGCAGUAGGGAAUCUUCGGCAAUGGACGAAAGUCUGACCGAGCAACGCCGCGUGAGUGAAGAAGGUUUUCGGAUCGUAAAACUCGGUUGGUAGAGAAGAACGUUGGUGAGAGUGGAAAGCUCAUCAAGUGACGGUAACUACCCAGAAAGGGACGGCUAACUACGUG